CCAGAUCACACGUGACCACGUUCUCAGAAACCCUCGAGAUAGCAGAUGAUAUGGCGAUUGACAUUCCUUAUGUAUGGCAGUACAUAGCGGAGCUCGUUAA